GGACUGCGGCUGCGCCGCUUACCCGCACACAGACGGUUGGCAGAGGAAGAAAGCCUUGUCACACUAAAGGAGAGACAGCGGAUGUUCUGAACAGUCCUGUCGUGAAACGUUAGACAACGUGGACGAAACAGGCACAUUCCUAAGCAUCACACAUUACUGAAACUCAGUCAAGAAGAAAUAGAAAAUCUGAAUACAUCCAUGGCAAGCACAGAAACUGAACUAGGGGAUUCGAAAUCUUCCCACAAAGAAAAGCCUAGGCCCAACUGGCCUCUAUGAUACAGCAAGAAGGUGCCAUCUAUGAAGGAGAAGACAAGCCCUCACCAGACACCAAAUCUGCUGAUGCUUUGAUCUUGGACUUCCCAGCCUCCAGAACUUUUCAGACUUUGGACAACAUGUAGCCCAGGACAGUGAUCCCUGAGAAAAGGAAGACAAAUGAGGUGACACUGUGAUAGACCCAGAUCAACGCCUGGAAAAAGUUUCAAAGCUACAAUGUGAGGAGUGGGGACAAAACAGUCUAGUGGCUUUGCUGAGUGGAGAAGGCAAGUACUGGAGUCCAGGCAAAGUAUUGGUGAAGGUGGAGCCCUGGAGAAAAAGAACUCUAGAGAUCUGUAAGAGGCUCUCCUUGAAACUUCUACUGAGCACAGUUCUGCACAUGCAUGUAUAGAAUUUACUCAAGAUGAAGAAAGAACCAACGAAAAAAAGCAUAGUAUAAUGCUGAGAACUCAUAAAAUCGAGUAGGAAAUCUUGCCUAUUGAAAGAGCAUUGAGACAGAGUCCUCAGAAGGAAUUUUCUCAGUGGUGGGAACAAAUUAGCUAUAAACCCAAGUUUGCUCUGAUAUUGCUAUAACAAAGCUUAAAAGCAACUCUCAAAAGGCUCAAACUGAGUACAAAACAUCUAAUUGUAACCCAGGGUACUUCCCAACAGUAUUCAAGGGAAUAAAAUAUUUUGUGUAUAUUUUGUAUUACAGGAAUAUAUUGUAUUCCUUUAUAUAGCAUAUUGUAUUUCUUUAUAUAUGAAAUGAUAUAUCAUCCUAAUUUAGAGCAUGAAGUUACAGAUGUAUAUUAUAAACUCUAGAACAACCACUAACACUAUUUUAGAAAGCUAUAAAUGAUAAGCAAAUAGAGAUAAAAUAGAAUGAUAAAAUAUAAUCAAUCCAGAAUAUGGGAAGAAAAAGAAAAAGGGAGCAAAAAAAAAUGAAA
rnacentral:lncRNA from 1 species